AAUCUGUGUAUUGGACAUUUUCACAGUAAGUCCAUGAAUCUUUCCCAUGCCUCAUACAAAUUCUCAUCUUUCAGUUGCUUGAAAGAUGUCAAGUCAUUUCGCAACUUU